GGCGGACGGGGUGAGUAAUGCUUAGGAAUCUGCCUAUUAGUGGGGGACAACAUUCCGAAAGGAAUGCUAAUACCGCAUACGUCCUACGGGAGAAAGCAGGGGAUCUUCGGACCUUGCGCUAAUAGAUGAGCCUAAGUCGGAUUAGCUAGUUGGUGGGGUAAAGGCCUACCAAGGCGACGAUCUGUAGCGGGUCUGAGAGGAUGAUCCGCCACACUGGGACUGAGACACGGCCCCAGACUCCUACGGGAGGCAGCAGUGGGGAAUAUUGGACAAUGGGGGGAACCCUGAUCCAGCCAUGCCGCGUGUGUGAAGAAGGCCUUAUGGUUGUAAAGCACUUUAAGCGAGGAGGAGGCUACUGAGACUAAUACUCUUGGAUAGUGGACGUUACUCGCAGAAUAAGCACCGGCUAACUCUGUGCCAGCAGCCGCGGUAAUACAGAGGGUGCGAGCGUUAAUCGGAUUUACUGGGCGUAAAGCGUGCGUAGGCGGCUUUUUAAGUCGGAUGUGAAAUCCCCGAGCUUAACUUGGGAAUUGCAUUCGAUACUGGGAAGCUAGAGUAUGGGAGAGGAUGGUAGAAUUCCAGGUGUAGCGGUGAAAUGCGUAGAGAUCUGGAGGAAUACCGAUGGCGAAGGCAGCCAUCUGGCCUAAUACUGACGCUGAGGUACGAAAGCAUGGGGAGCAAACAGGAUUAGAUACCCUGGUAGUCCAUGCCGUAAACGAUGUCUACUAGCCGUUGGGGCCUUUGAGGCUUUAGUGGCGCAGCUAACGCGAUAAGUAGACCGCCUGGGGAGUACGGUCGCAAGACUAAAACUCAAAUGAAUUGACGGGGGCCCGCACAAGCGGUGGAGCAUGUGGUUUAAUUCGAUGCAACGCGAAGAACCUUACCUGGCCUUGACAUACUAGAAACUUUCCAGAGAUGGAUUGGUGCCUUCGGGAAUCUAGAUACAGGUGCUGCAUGGCUGUCGUCA
rnacentral:rRNA from 1 species